ensembl:misc_RNA Metazoa_SRP Metazoan signal recognition particle RNA
GUCGGGCAUGGUGGCGUGUGCCUGUAAUCCCAGCUACUCAGGAGGCUGAGGCAGGAGAAUCGCUUGAACCUGGGAGGCGGAGGUUGCAGUGAGCUGAGAUGGCGCCACUGCACUCCAGCCUGGGUGACAGAGCGAGACUCCGUCUCAA